AUUAGAUUAGCCUAGUUUACAUUGUGUAUUUGGGAAGAUAUAGAAAAAAACCCCACAAUUGUCAGUUAGGUCUGAAGGGACAUAGUUGAGUCUGAACUUUGGUCUCAGUAGAUGCAAACACACCUCUCUUUGGACAGACUGACUUGAGUGACCACACCAGAGGGUUCCUAACCCAUGCUGCAGCCUGGCCAUCAUCUCACCUUUUAUCGUGAGACAAAUGCCAGUGGGAGUGAGGUGUCUAGGGCCAGUUCUUAGGAACUGUGCAACACCACCUCUACCACGUUACAUAGCAGAGCCAGAACUGCUUAGUAAAAUGGUCUGCAUAUGUGUAGCGGAAAUUCUAAGUCACAGUUUGAAGCAGUGAUGGAGCACCUGGUGGGAGGAGGGGCCAAUCCACAGGUGCACACAGUGAAGCUGAGUGACAGGAAGGGCUGGAGCCAAGAUGAACCCCCUUCCCAGCCGUCAUUUAAGGGUUAGCAGUGUAGGUGAAGGUGUCUUGUUUCAAAUCCCUUCCCAUCUCAGGCAUUCUGAAGGCUCAGUACCACCUUCUCCAACACACGCUGCAGCAGCUGGAUGGAGGAUGGGCUCUCAGACAGAACUACUCAAGGUUAUCUGUGAGAUGUGCAACGUACCUUGAGGAGACUAAGUUUCAUACUCUGGGCAUGGAGGAAAUGGUGGUGGAAACAAUCCUGGCACCAUGGGAAAUACUGCUGGUCAUGUGUGCUGCAGUGCUGAUCAUGAGCUUCCUUAUGGUCCUGCCCCCUGCAGUAGUGGUGAUAUGGAGGAUGAAGCAUGUGCCUCAGAUCUCACUGCAUGGCUCGGUGUAAGCCAGCCACCUUCUUUCAAAGGCUGUUUCAGAACGAUGAAAUCUCUCAGGAUCACCAUUACUUCUCAAGGUCUGUCCUAAACACACUGUUUUCCCACUCUAUCACUGUUAAGUCCUGGUUAAAAGAGAAUGUGUCCAAUUCUGUUUUCAUUUGAUGCAGUGCUUUGCCUUCUGUUUUCUGUCUAUGCUGUAUUAUUGUUGGUAAUAUAAGUAAUAUAGGUACUUAAUUUCUACACUGUUGUCUUCUCUUUCACUAUACUGUACUGGAAACAAUACUGAAAACUAAGUAUUGUACAGUAUUGUAUUCCCUUAACUAAUAACCGGUAAAGUCUGCCUCUCUAUAUUUGAACUGCAAAUAGUACCAAAGCCUUCAUCAUCAUUGACAAGUUGUGGAUGCGUCAAAGUAAGCAGUAUAGUCUGGUUGUACUGUGAAACCUACAUAAACAGGGUAUGGUGCAACAAAUAAGCAUCUCCGUCUUAUUUUUCUGAUUUGAAAUUGUUGGCAUCUAAUGUUUCUUGUUGCUUUAAUGCAAUAUUAAUGUUCUUCUCUUUGUUAAAUCCCAAGUGUCAGGAUGCAAAGCCCUUCCCACUCCAGGGCUGGAACGAGAGGCUUAGCCCAAUGCUUAGACUUGCCCAGCCAGAUACCAGCUCAUAGUUAGUGCAAACAUACGGCAACUAUUUCCCUAAAUUACAUUAUGCAAAUUUACUCUGGAAAGUAAUGUCAUUAAAUUUGCUAUAGUUUUUAACUGUGUUGUACAGGCUUAUUGGUUCAACUGCCCCUUCUCACAUAUAAAUAACAAAUUGGAUGGUGAGAAUAGAACAGAACAACCUCUCUGCAAUUUUAUAACAAUAAUAAUUUUUUGCUUAAUAUCAAAUUCAUGCAAUAUCAUAUUAAAGCCUUCCAGCCCAUUUCUUCUGCAUUAAGUGAAGCUUAUUAGUAAGAUUUUUUUACAUGAAGAUUUAACUGUUUUUAAUGCUUUACAAGAAGAAUGGGCUUGAGUUCCUUAUGAAGUCCAAUAUUGUGUUUCUUUUCCUUUGUUAGUUGGUUUGGAAAGUUGCUAGAUUAGCUCAGUAAAACUCAGAAUUAUUUAUAGUACCAGUAGAAAGAUGAUAAUGGCAAGUGCUCAGUGCUUCAGGCAGAUAUUGCAUUUGGGCAUCAGCUGAUAACGGUUUGGCUGCAAAUGAAAGACUCAAGGACAUUAUAACUCUGUUUGAUACAGACAAUUUUUUUGUCAGAAAUGAACACCAAUCUCUGAAAAACAUUUGCUUUUCUUUAAGACUGCAGCCUUUUUCUCACAAAUGCUGUGACUUAAGCUACAGCCUUACGGUUCCUUUGUAGUCAAAGCAGUCAACUCAUCCCUUGCUUGAUUUAAUUGCUACUCUAAGGAAGUUGUGUGACUGGCUGGUUCUGGGCCCAAAAACAAUGGGUGGAUUUUUGCUUGCAAUAGCUGCAUUCUAAGCCUGAAAGGCAGCGUCUAAUUUUACCUGAAUAAUAUUACUUAUUUGAAUCAUUUAAGCAACUAAUGGGGAUUAAGUUGAACUAAACAUCAUGUAUACAUGUAUACCUGUAAUUGCGGUCUGUAUCUGAAAGAUUCACAAGAACAAGGAGAAAGUGAAGAGAAGGGAAAUGCAAACAGAUGGGCUGGUUGUCUUCAGACUUGUGGCUUCAAUGUUUACUCAGCAGAUGAGAAGUAAAACCAAACCCUGAGCUCAGAUUCCACUGAAAAUCAAGCAAGCAAUAACUAAGCUUUCUCUUCAAAUUUCACCAUAAUUCAGAUAUAUGUAUGCUCUGUAGCAACAGCUCCACAAAUAAAGUCCAUAUCCAGCACGAUGUUGUCUCUGGUCUUUACUCAUGCUGAAUGCUAGGUGACCAAAAACCAGGGCUUUCUGCUCUUUAUUCUUCAUUCUCUCAUCUCUAGUGUACUCAUGGUCACUAGGGAUGUGUAAGGAGGUGUCAAAGAAGUACUUGCUGAAGGAAGUGGAGUGGAAGCAGGAACAAAUGUUUUUGUAUUUCAGUGUAAGAAUAAAUGACCAAAAAAAAAUUACUUGAUCAUAUCUUUGUUCACAUUUCAGUUGCUUUGAAUUUGGAUGAUGAGCUGAAUUUUUGCUAAUGGUGGUAACAGCCAAAUAUGCCUUGGUGUAGACUGGAUUUGGAAGUAUGGUAAUGGGAGGGAGGCCAAGGAGAGUGACUGCCAUGAGCUACAGGUAUCUUGGGCUAGUCUCAGGAACUGCCCCAGCACAGCUAUACUGACACCAAAACAUCUUAGCCAGUCAGCCCCACGCUCAGCCCAAAGCCCUGUAGCUUCAUUAUAAUGCAGGCUGCCCAGAGAGGCUGUGGAUGCCCCAUCCCUGGAGGUGUUCAAGGCCAGAUUGGAUGGGGCCCUGGGCAGCCUUGUCUGGUAUUCAAUGCAGAGAUUGGUGGCCCUGCCUGCGGCAGAGGUUUGGAGAUUCAUGAUCUUAAGGUCCUUUUCAACCUUGGCUAUUCUGUGACUCUGGACCUCAGAUGCAUUUGUAUUCCUCUUCUGAAGCUUAACCACAGCUUGCAGAAACCUCUGCCUAAUAAGACAUGAUAGAAAUCUGUGAUAAUUUAGGAUGAUCCCAUUUCUCACAUUUUGUGCCAGACUGAAAUGUUGCAUUUUUUCUGCUGUUUUAUCUAGCUACAGCAAGAAUACAGGGCGCUUUUAGAGUGCUAUAAAUGCUCUGAACUAUGCCUGAUUGUAUAUAGUUCUGUGGGAAAUCCUCAGGCUUGUAAAUGCAAAUGGAAAGAUGUUUGAGCUGCUCCCCCAGCAAACUGCAGAGUUUGAUAUCCUUAGCUCAUGUGAGCCACAGAACCCUAAACACCUGAUUUCACCCCCGAGCACACAGGUGCAUGCACAGAGUUGUUUCCUAUAGCCAUAGCUGUUGUGACUUGCACUGUUUUAAUGGUCAUCAAAGCAAUGACAUUGAUUAACUGACACCUGUGAAAGCAACCAGAAGUAAAACUCUUCCUCCAUAAAAAUGAUCCUUCUUUACAGAAGUUGAUUUUUGACAACAGUUAUUGUGUUUAACUAAUGACCGCAUCAAUUAAGAGACUAAUUCCCUUCUAAUUAUGGUAAGACAAAUUUAAGGCAUAAAAAUACAAGCU